GACCUCGUAGCUCAGUUGGUAGAGUAUUGGACUAGUAUCCCAAAGGCCGCGGGUUCGAUUCCCACCGUGGUCA
rnacentral:tRNA from 1 species